rnacentral:rRNA from 1 species
CAGCAGUAGCCGCGGUAAUACGGAGGGUGCAAGCGUUAAUCGGAAUUACUGGGCGUAAAGCGCACGCAGGCGGUUUGUUAAGUUAGAUGUGAAAUCCCCGAGCUUAACUUGGGAACUGCAUUUGAAACUGGCAAGCUAGAGUCUUGUAGAGGGGGGUAGAAUUCCAGGUGUAGCGGUGAAAUGCGUAGAGAUCUGGAGGAAUACCGAUGGCGAAGGCGGCCCCCUGGACAAAGACUGACGCUCAGGUGCGAAAGCGUGGGGAGCAAACAGGAUUAGAGACCCCUGUAGUCCCUGUCUCUUAUAU